UGAAUCAUAAUCUCCUAAAAAGCUCCCAAGACCUUCUCCUACCAUUCAAGUAAAUUUCUACAAGAAAUCAAAGUGGUUCUUUCCUUGGAGAUAAAUUACUUCAAGUUGAAGCAAGGUAUAAGGGGGCUGAUUUAUUGCAUCCAAGGUAAGGUACCCCCUCCCCUACAUGUAUAAGAUUUUAAUGAAGUCUUUGAAGUAUUGAUUAAGAACUUAUGAGAUAAAGGUCAGAAAUCGUACUUAAAGUGUUGUGUUGUAGUUGACUAUUUUGAAGCCAUGUUUGUGAUAUGUUGUGGCUAGAAAUAGAUGGAAUGGCUUGGAUAUGAUGUGGUUAAUGUUGUUCUUGUAUUUUUUUCUAUUGUUAAGGGCUUGAGGAAAGUAAAGAGAAGAGGGGGGGUACUGCUGCUCGAUUUUGUAUAAGCUUGUCGUUUGCCGCUCGUCGUUUGUCGAUAUGUUCUUAGUAUUGAUAAAAGCUAUGCUUUCAUCUUGUAGACCAGCAUAUUGGUGAGUCACUUGUGGUUUUGUGAAGAAUAGCUACGGUUGAGGUAUGUAAAGUCUUCCUUCCUUAUUUUAGCAUGAGUUUGUUAGUCAUGUCACCCUUAUAAGAGAUUCA
rnacentral:lncRNA from 1 species